GAUGAACGCUAGCGGCAGGCCUAACACAUGCAAGUCGAGGGGUAGCAGGAUUAAGCUUGCUUAAUUGCUGACGACCGGCGCACGGGUGCGUAACGCGUACGCAACCUACCUUAUACUGGGGUAUAGACAGGAGAAAUUCGGAUUAAUCCCCCAUAGUACUAAUGAAUCGCAUGGUGUAUUAGUUAAAGCAUUGCGGUAUAAGAUGGGCAUGCGUCCUAUUAGCUAGAUGGUGAGGUAACGGCUCACCAUGGCUACGAUAGGUAGGGGGCCUGAGAGGGUGGUCCCCCACACUGGUACUGAGACACGGACCAGACUCCUACGGGAGGCAGCAGUGAGGAAUAUUGGUCAAUGGGCGCAAGCCUGAACCAGCCAUGCCGCGUGCAGGAAGAAUGCCCUAUGGGUUGUAAACUGCUUUUAUUUGGGAAUAAACCUCUUUACGUGUAGAGAGCUGAAGGUACCAAAUGAAUAAGCACCGGCUAACUCCGUGCCAGCCGCCGCCGUAA
rnacentral:rRNA from 1 species